rnacentral:rRNA from 1 species
AGAGUUUGAUCCUGGCUCAGGACGAACGCUGGCGGCGUGCUUAACACAUGCAAGUCGAACGAGAUGUCUUCGGAUGUCUAGUGGCGAACGGGUGAGUAACACGUGAGCAACCUGCCCUUGGCUCUGGGAUAGCCUCCGGAAACGGGGAUUAAUACCGGACAGGACCUGCGAUCGCAUGAUCUCGGGUGGAAAGUUUUUCGGCCAGGGAGGGGCUCGCGGCCUAUCAGCUUGUUGGGGGGGUGACGGCCCACCAAGGCGACGACGGGUAGCCGGCCUGAGAGGGCGACCGGCCACACUGGGACUGAGACACGGCCCAGACUCCUACGGGAGGCAGCAGUGGGGAAUAUUGCACAAUGGGCGCAAGCCUGAUGCAGCGACGCCGCGUGCGGGAUGAAGGCCUUCGGGUUGUAAACCGCUUUCAGCAGGGGCGAAUUUUGACGGUACCUGCAGAAGAAGCGCCGGCUAACUACGUGCCAGCAGCCGCGGUAAUACGUAGGGCGCGAGCGUUGUCCGGAAUUAUUGGGCGUAAAGAGCUCGUAGGCGGCCUGUUGCGUCCGCUGUGAAAUCCCAGGGCUUAACCCUGGGCGUGCGGGCGAUACGGGCAGACUAGAGUACUGCAGGGGAGACUGGAAUUCCUGGUGUAGCGGUGGAAUGCGCAGAUAUCAGGAGGAACACCGGUGGCGAAGGCGGGUCUCUGGGCAGUAACUGACGCUGAGGAGCGAAAGCGUGGGGAGCGAACAGGAUUAGAUACCCUGGUAGUCCACGCCGUAAACGGUGGGUACUAGGUGUGGGUUUCCUUCCUUGGGAUCCGUGCCGUAGCUAACGCAUUAAGUACCCCGCCUGGGGAGUACGGCCGCAAGGCUAAAACUUAAAGGAAUUGACGG